rnacentral:lncRNA from 1 species
UAUUUUUUGAGUUUUUUUUAUCAACUCCUCGUUCCACAACAAAAUCAAACCCUAAAAAGGAGGAUGAAGAAGGGUAAAAUCCGACAAGUAAGAUGAGACCGAGGCUCGAAGCAAGGUGAUAAUAUUUCAUACUCUGACUACUAUCAUUCAAAUCUUGGAUUUAUGGAUUGAAUUUUACUUUCUUAGAUGCUUUCGGUUUGAUUUUUGAAGAGGAAGAAGCCAUUGAAGUGGAAGGGAUGAAGAGUUCUGAGAAAUCAACGUCCUUUCGCCCUAAAGUUCCAACGACUGGUUUCGUCCUCCUUUACUGCGUUAUUACGGUCAAUAUAAGGCAAGUUUUGAUUUUGAUAUUUUUUCCCCUUCAUAAAAAUAGUUUAAAUCUCAAAAUAUGUGGAUGGUGUCUUCAAUACAAUUCACUUGUUCGAGAUUUGGGUUACUUGUUUUUCGGAAGCAACUUUUUUUCUUAUUGCUUAAAAUAGAUGACUCUUUUUGUUUGACUUGUCACCUUCGUGUAAUCUGGAGAGGUUUUUGUAGUCCAUCACCCCUUUUAGUUCCAGCUCAACAUUUAUUUAACGUUUUAUUGCUUGUAAAUGAAUUGAAUUUUUGGAAUUUGUACUUAAUUAAUUUUAAUUUAUCAGUAAUAUUAAUUAUAUCAUUUCAUUGCCUUUAUAUAAAAGAGUGAAUGUUGGCUCUACUGUUCAUUUUGCUGCCCUCCGAUUCACACUGAAACUGGUUCUUUACUAUUCAUUAUCUAGUUAUUCAAUAAGAUAUAGAUAUUUUACAUAAAGAGCAUUUGCUUUCUUUUUCUUCAUUCACUCUCUCUUGCUUUUUCAUGAGUUUCUUUCUCAACAAACCGAGCCAAAGCAAUCCCUAAGAAGGAGAGAAAAGGUAAGAUUCAAACUAAUUACUGGAAUCGACCUUCAAUUUCUUCCAAUCUUGUAAAUUUCUUCAAUUUCUUGAUCACUUUUGCAGAUCCUGUGGAAAUUUUUCCCUUUUUAUGAAAGUUUAACUAAAAUUUCAAACAAAGACUUGAGAGAAAAUUGAACUAUUUUCAGUUCAAGUAAAGAUCUUGGAACAACAACACGACAAUAGCAAAAAGGUCUUAUGAGGAUUCACAGGUAUUCUGGGGAAAAUUUCGGGGGUUAUCUCUAGAUUUUAGAGAGGACGAACGAAUUUUUUCUGGUCUUUCUUAUUUACUCGAAGAUAAUUGAUGGCAGUUUCUACUGCAAAGAUAGAAUCCUGAUAUGGUGGAUAUCAAGUGUUUUGAGCUAAUCGAUUCUGGCUCUGUAAUUAUAUUUAGCUAAAAGGGUGUGUAAUUAAGGGAAAAUUCAUGGUGGAUUAUGUAAAUACGGAAAGGAGAGAGAUUCUCUCAAUUUUUGCUGCUUGAAAUUCUUCAAAUAAUAUUGCCAGAACCUGGAUAGUUUUCAUUUUAUUUGCAUCAGAGGCCUGUUGAAAGAAUUUUGUAUGUUUGCUUUAGAAUUUGAAUUUUUCAGUCCUUAGUUUGAAGGGGUGGUCACAACAUUAUAGAAGAAGAGACCAAUGCAUUUGAAGUUGGGAAUACGAAAAGGUUGGAGAAAUUCUAGACAAGAUAAGAUAUAUGGGGUUUUGAUACCUUCAAUGAAGUAAGUGGAGUGAAAAUGGGUACAACGAUUUUACAUUCUUUGACAGGUGAUAAUCCAGAAUUGCAAAAGCAAACAGGACAGCAUUAUAGAACAAAAGUCAGUGCAUUGCAAGUUGGGUAUACGAAAAGGUUAGAGAAAUUCUAGACAAGACAUUUGGGAUUUUGAUACCUUCAUUGAAGUGAGGGAAGUGAAAAUGACUAAAAAGAUUUUACAUUUUUUGACAGGUGAUAAUCCAAAAUUGAAAAAGCAAACAUGAUAUAUGACAGGCAUCUUUCAACUGUUCGAUCAUCAGCCUAUUCUUACUGGGAGGUGCAUCGUUGGCCACAACACAGAGAGGCUGCCUCCUGGUACAUAUUUCUCAUACUAAUUGCUUACUAUUGCUUAUGAUCAAUAAUCUUGUAGAUGAAUGUACUAUUUUAAUGUUUUUCUUGCAGACGCUAUAGACUGUUCACUGAUAGAACUAAGUUUGUUUUAGUUCUCCAAAAUGGAUUCAUUGAAUAUUAAUUUUAAAUAAAUAUAUGAUUCUCUUCUUGUUCAAUAUAUUUCGUGCCACCUUUUAAGUUAAUAAUAUACAAGAGAAGCCCUACGAGCAUGAUACAAUGUGUUUUGCCCUACGAGCAUGAUGCAAUUCGGCCCAUUUCUUAGCAAAAAUAAUAUGCCCAGUAUAUUGAUUUUUGUUUCUUUUCAUGACCUAUAUUUAUUAUUUCAUAUAAGUUUGCAUAUAUAAUGUCCAUGGCCUCCUGAUGAUAUUGCUCAUUUAAUUUUUUGAAGCCUUAAUUCAUUGCUUUUAAUGGUCUAAUAAAAACCCAUAUCUCAGGUUCAGAUGUUCAUUUGCAGGAAAUGCCCACUUCCAUAAUGUACAUUGGAAACAGAAUCUAAUACUACAGAAUGAAGAUCUGCACUAAUGGUAAGAAAUGUUUAUUUUGAUUUUUUCUCUCGUGGAAACAUAAGUACUAUGAAUCCAUUUAAACCCCCUCUUGAUAUUGUAAUCUUUUUCUCUAUCUCUAUUUUAGAUAUGUGUGUGCAUUUAUUCAAAAUUUUCUUCUAAUUGUUAGUUGAAAGUAUUUAAUUUUGAAUUUCAUAUGGAUUUUGUUGUCUUCAAUGAAUUUGGCUUUCUUUUUUCUUCUUGCUUUUUGUGCUCUAAUUGAUGAUGAUACAAAAUGCAAACAAAGAAAUUAAGAAUAUGAUCAUUUUCAGAUACUUUAUUGUUCUUUUUUUUUUUUUUUAAAAAAGGGAUUGAUUGAUUAUCUUAAUGCUGAUGUCAAAAUCAAUUUUGAUCUAAUGAUCUCUAGGUUGAAAUUGAGUUCCAAAAAUUAAACUUUAGUGCAUGCUUCAUUUUUAUUGCUUCUCUUUAAGUUUACUGAAAAUUUUGAAAAGAUCUUUGUUUUCUAUUUUAUUUUGUUGGAAAAAGAUUUGCUUAGAAAUCAGAGGUUUGAUUACUGAGAUUUCAGAAAGAAAAUAACAAUAGUAACUUAGAUUCGGGAUUUCAAUUCUUAUUGUAUCAGCUUGAUGAAAUUGAAAAAUGCUAACAAAGAUGAAAUUGAACACCCUAUUUGUUCCUAACUUAAUCUCUCCUUUGUCUUUGCAUCUUUGCAAUCCUUAGACAUUUAUAUUCCAUUGUACUCUCAUUCCAUUGCAGAAAUCAGGUAAAACGUGGAGGAGCUGGCAAAGAUUAUUGGGGAGCUCAGAUUGAUAAAUUGGUUGAGUGAGUUUCUCCUUGGCGACUUUGACAGUAAGUCUUUAAUCAAUAGAAUGGCAUAUACUUUUUCUCAUAUAUCCAAUAUUGUGAUCCUUCUACCAUGGUUUCUAGAGUUACCGACGAAGUCUUCAAUUAUGGUGGGAUCAAUCUGAAUGCUGAAGCAUGAAUAAUCUUUUUAUCUAUAUAUUUAGAA